CCCCGGUGCAGUUCCUCAUUCCGUUCGCAUUUGGGCCUCAGACUGUGUCGAGCUCGGCACCGGGGUGUUGGUGGCAGCGCUGAAGGGCCCCCCACUGCCCUGUCAUAGUGUCUGCUCUCACCAUCCUCCUCGGCUGCUGGCUGGCCGGGCGGAGCGGGGUGUUGGGAGGCUGCUGGCUGGCCGGGCAGAGCGGGGUUUUGGGAUGUGAGUAUCUGUGGGGCAG